rnacentral:rRNA from 1 species
GUCGAGCGAGGCCCUCCUUCGGGGGGUGCCCUAGCGGCGAACGGGUGAGUAACACGUGGGCAACCUGCCCUCAGCUCUGGGAUAACUCCAAGAAAUUGGUGCUAAUACCGGAUGUGACCGCUGACCGCAUGGUCUGGUGGUGGAAAGAUUCAUCGGCUGAGGAUGGGCCCGCGGCCUAUCAGCUUGUUGGUGGGGUGAUGGCCUACCAAGGCGACGACGGGUAGCCGGCCUGAGAGGGUGACCGGCCACACUGGGACUGAGACACGGCCCAGACUCCUACGGGAGGCAGCAGUGGGGAAUAUUGCGCAAUGGGCGAAAGCCUGACGCAGCGACGCCGCGUGAGGGAUGACGGCCUUCGGGUUGUAAACCUCUUUCAGUAGGGACGAAGCGCAAGUGACGGUACCUACAGAAGAAGCACCGGCCAACUACGUGCCAGCAGCCGCGGUAAUACGUAGGGUGCAAGCGUUGUCCNGGAAUUAUUGGGCGUAAAGAGCUCGUAGGCGGUCUGUCACGUCGGCUGUGAAAACCCGAGGCUCAACCUCGGGCCUGCAGUCGAUACGGGCAAACUAGAGUACUGCAGGGGAGACUGGAAUUCCUGGUGUAGCGGUGAAAUGCGCAGAUAUCAGGAGGAACACCGGUGGCGAAGGCGGGUCUCUGGGCAGUAACUGACGCUGAGGAGCGAAAGCGUGGGGAGCGAACAGGAUUAGAUACCCUGGUAGUCCACGCCGUAAACGUUGGGCGCUAGGUGUGGGGGCCAUUCCACGGUCUCCGUGCCGCAGCUAACGCAUUAAGCGCCCCGCCUGGGGAGUACGGCCGCAAGGCUAAAACUCAAAGGAAUUGACGGGGGCCCGCACAAGCGGCGGAGCAUGUUGCUUAAUUCGAUGCAACGCGAAGAACCUUACCUANGGCUUGACAUGCACGGAAAUCUCGUAGAGAUACGGGGUGNCCUUUGGCGUCGUGCACAGGUGGUGCAUGGUUGUCGUCAGCUCGUGUCGUGAGAUGUUGGGUUAAGUCCCGCAACGAGCGCAACCCUCGUUCUAUGUUGCCAGCACGUGAUGGUGGGGACUCAUAGGAGACUGCCGGGGUCAACUCGGAGGAAGGUGGGGAUGACGUCAAAUCAUCAUGCCCCUUAUGUCUAGGGCUGCAAACAUGCUACAAUGGCCGGUACAAAGGGCUGCGAUACCGCGAGGUGGAGCGAAUCCCAAAAAGCCGGUCUCAGUUCGGAUUGGGGUCUGCAACUCGACCCCAUGAAGUUGGAGUCGCUAGUAAUCGCAGAUCAGCAACGCUGCGGUGAAUACGUUCCCGGGCCUUGUACACACCGCCCGUCACGUCACGAAAGUCGGUAACGCCCGAAGCCGGNGGCCCAACCCUUNNNNAGGGAGCC